rnacentral:rRNA from 1 species
UGAAAAGAACUUUGAAGAGAGAGUUCAAGAGUACGUGAAACCGUUCAGGGGUAAACCUGAGAAACCCAAAAGAUCGAAUGGGGAGAUUCAGCGUUCAACGGCCCGUCUGGCUUGCGUGCGACGUCACGAUGUCGCGGUGUUAUGCGCCCUCGCCGGUGUGUAUAUACCGUGACACGUCGUCGCUGCGUCAUGACCGGCGCCGUCGGCGUGCACUUCUCCCCUAGUAGAACGUCGCGACCCGUUGUGCGUCGGCCAAAGGCUCGAAGGGUAGACUAUCGCGCUCUCUCCCCGGAGGGCGCGGCAGACCCUCGAAAGCCCGGCCCGACUGCUCGACGGUAUUCGAAUAUCACAAGGUGUGUAAUCGAGAGCCGCAUUUGAAUGCGUUCGGCGCGUCGGUCGGCUUCGGCUCGCUCGGUUAUUUUACGGACCUGGAAGCCGUUACUGGGCGCUUGCCGAGGCUUUUUGUACCGACGACGAUCUCGAACCGGCUAUGCGCGCACGAAAGCGUUCGCGCUCUCGCGCGCUCACCUGUCGGCGACGCUUUUGCUUUGGGUACUUUCAGGACCCGUCUUGAAACACGGACCAAGGAGUCUAACAUGUGCGCGAGUCAUUGGGUUUUUUUAUAUUAUAUUUAAAGCCUAAAGGCGCAAUGAAAGUGAAGAUACAGCAAGCAUUCUGGCCUGAGCCCAUCGAGGGAGGAUGGCCCGCGUCACGAUGCGGGCCCGCACUCCCGGGGCGUCUCGCGCUCAUUGCGAGCGGAGGCGCA